CCUACGGGAGGCAGCAGUGGGGAAUAUUGGGCAAUGGAGGAAACUCUGACCCAGCGACGCCGCGUGCGGGAUGAAGGCCUUCGGGUUGUAAACCGCUUUCAGCAGGGAAGAAGCGAAAGUGACGGUACCUGCAGAAGAAGCACCGGCUAACUAUGUGCCAGCAGCCGCGGUAAUACAUAGGGUGCAAGCGUUGUCCGGAAUUAUUGGGCGUAAAGAGCUCGUAGGUGGUUCGUCACGUCGGAUGUGAAAAUCUGGGGCUUAACCCCAGACCUGCAUUCGAUACGGGCGAGCUUGAGUAUGGUAGGGGAGUCUGGAAUUCCUGGUGUAGCGGUGGAAUGCGCAGAUAUCAGGAGGAACACCAAUGGCGAAGGCAGGACUCUGGGCCAUUACUGACACUGAGGAGCGAAAGCGUGGGGAGCGAACAGGAUUAGAUACCCUGGUAGUCCACGCCGUAAACGGUGGGCACUAGUUGUGGGGACCUUCCACGGUCUCUGCGACGCAGCUACGCAUAAGUCGCCCGCCGCGGGAGGUACGAGUCGCGAGAAGUUAAACUAACGAAAGAAGUUAGUACGGCGUGAGACGUCGCCGACGGACGACGACGAGGGAGGUUAGG
rnacentral:rRNA from 1 species